GAACUGCUGUUUGAACGUCCCCUGAGAUUGUGCGUAGCCCCGUGUAAAUGUAAUAGCCUCCAUGGCUUAAUUGGCUAUCAAGCGAAUUUUCCCAGAUGAAAGCAAUGUUGGGUUAGGGGACGACGGUGCAGCCACCCAGCCUUUACCAGCAGCGUGCUGCAGACGAAGGCAGUCAAGGUGUGGAGGUGAUCACGCAGGUGCAGCUCAGUUGCCGUGAUGCUCCUUGAGUCAAUGAGCUCUUUGGUCUGCUCUUCUGCUCAAGCAGAAAAGGAUUGGCACUUCACCCUUGAGAAGCUGACAAGAACCACAGGCUUCUUCAGGCAGGUGGUGGAACAUGGGUGUAUCCUGCAGGUGCUCACAGUAUCUCCCUUUGCUCAGGCUCUAGCCUGAUUUUCUGGCUCAUAAGGCCAAAGGGAGCUGGAAAAGUCCCCACGGCAGGACUCAUGGUGGAGAGAGAAUGAUCUAGAGGAUUCAGGCCUCUGCAUACUGUGUCUGGGUCCCUCCUUAAAGAAUGAUAAAGACAAGUAAAGAGCUUGAAGCAGCCUGGAGUCCAGCCAGAAACCUUUAACUGAGCUUUAAAGGAGAUGGUCACAACACUUUUCAGAAUACUGGCAAAGGCCUCCUGUGGCCAGGUUUGUCCUGGGAUGAGCAAAAUUUAAUGUUAACCUGCUGUAUCUUUGCUUUUAAUAUAUCUGCUUGCCCAUCACAAUGAUGUUAUGGUUAAUUUCACCAAUUUGGUAACCUGCCUCUUGGGAAGUACGAAAGUAAGCAAGGGCCAGGUGUGGUGACUCACGCCUGUAAUCCCAGUACUUUGGGUGGCUGAGGCGGGUGGAUUGCUUGAGCCCAGGAGUUCAAGACCAACCUGGGCACCAUGACAAAACCCCGUCUCUACAAAAUAUACAAAAAUUAACCAGGAGUGGCAGUGCAUGGCUGUAAUCCCAGCUACUCGGAGGCUGAGGUGGGAGAAUCUCUUGAGCCUGGGAGGCAGAGGUUGCAGUGAGCUGAGAUCACACCACUGCAUUCCAGCCUGGGCAAUGAAGUGAGACCCUGUCUCAAAAAAAAAAAAAAAAAAAAAGAGAGAGAAAGACAGUGAGGGUGUCCUGUGAAUCAAAUCUUUGAAUGGAUGUUUUCUUAACUAACCAAGACCUCUGUAAGAAUUCUGUCUUUGAUUCCACAAUAAAGUGGUGUGAAAUUACUAUAAGCAAA
rnacentral:lncRNA from 1 species